rnacentral:rRNA from 1 species
AUGCAUAUGCAUCGCAUACCGCAUCCCGCAUAUCAUACCAUGUUCAUGUGUUGGUUGUUUACUAUGUUAUGUGCUUCUUUCUGGUGUUUGCUUCUUCGGGUUGGUUCUGAUAACGUCGCGUUUGUGAGGACCCAUUCGUCUACGUCCGUUUGUCUUCUUCAUGGACUCGUUCUUCUUCCUUGCAGGAUUUCAGGCAAGAUGACCAUACCCUCGAAAUCACUUCUAUCUUUGCUUGCUAGUUGCUCGAUCUUUUGCUAUGCCUAUACUGCGAUACCUACCACUUGCUUAUCAUGCGUCCCAUAUUGUUAA